rnacentral:tRNA from 1 species
GGGCGCGUAGCUCAACGGUAGAGCAGUGGCCUUUUAAGCCAUUGGUUGAGAGUUCGAUCCUCUCCGCGCUCA